rnacentral:rRNA from 1 species
GAGCACGUAGGUGGGUUUGUAAGUCAGAUGUGAAAGCCUUCUGUUCAACGGAAGAAUUGCAUCUGAGACUGCGAGUCUUGAGUGUAGGAGGGGAGAAUGGAACUUCUGGUGGAGCGGUGAAAUGCGUAGAUAUCAGAAGGAACGCCGGCGGCGAAAGCGAUUCUCUGGCCUAUUACUGACACUCAGUGUGCGAAAGCUAGGGGAGCAAACGGGAUUAGAUACCCCGGUAGUCCUAGCCGUAAACGAUGGGCACUAAGUAGAGGGGUUUU